GGCAGGGCCUUUCACUGUCCAUCAAUAUUUUCUGUACACAAGAGAAUUCAUACUGGAGAAAAACCCUACAAAUGUGAAGUGUGUGGCCAGGCCUUCAAUAUUUCAUCAAAACUUUCUCAUCACAAGAGAAUUCAUACAAGAGAAAAACCCUACAAAUGUGAAGUUUGUGGCAAGGCCUUUCAUUAUCCAUCAAGACUUUCCAAACAUAAGAAAGUUCAUGCAGGAGGGAAUCCCUACAGUGGUGAAAUAUGUAGCAAGGGCUUCAGUUAUCCAUCAAGACUUUCCAAACAUAAGAAACUUAAUACAGAAGAGAAACUAUAGAAGUGUGAAAUAUGUAGCAAGGCCUUCCAAUAUCCAUCAUUACUUUCUAAACACAAAAUCAUUCAUA
rnacentral:lncRNA from 1 species